GAACGCGAAGAACCUUACCCGGGCUUGAAUUGCAGAGGAAGGAUUUAGAGAUAAUGACGCCCUUCGGGGCCUCUGUGAAGGUGCUGCAUGGUUGUCGUCAGCUCGUGCCGUGAGGUGUCGGCUUAAGUGCCAUAACGAGCGCAACCCCUCUCUUCAGUUGCCAUCAGGUUAAGCUGGGCACUCUGGAGACACUGCCACCGUAAGGUGUGAGGAAGGUGGGGAUGACGUCAAAUCAGCACGGCCCUUACGUCCGGGGCUACACACGUGUUACAAUGGCCGGUACAGAGGGAAGGUGUAAUGUAAAUUGCAUCAAAUCUUGAAAGCCGGUCCCAGUUCGGACUGGGGUCUGCAACCCGACCCCACGAAGCUGGAUUCGCUAGUAAUCGCGCAUCAGCCAUGGCGCGGUGAAUACGUUCCCGGGUCUUGUACACACC
rnacentral:rRNA from 1 species